GUUAGGCACCAGCUCUGUGCCUCCAUCAUGCAGAGGAAGGCAUGAUCACAUGCCGAUGAAAAACAUAAGCACCUGCAAAUGUGGGAUUGUGAGAACUGCAGGCCACCAGCAGGAGCAGGUGGCCAGCCUGGAAACAAAGACCCUGUUUAGAACUCAACAAAGGCCCAAAGGGUACUGUGUGGCAGGCUAACUCUUGGAUGCUUGUGCCUCACCCCUGAUUGAAUCUUGGCUUCAGAAUCUUUGAUGCUUCAUUGAGAAGGCAUAACGGAUAAAAUGGACAUUAGAACCUGGAAGGACCAGAACAGAACUUUUAUGCAAACUGUUCCUUUUUACUGAGAAAUUUAUUUGCCUAAUUUGGAUUUGUGUAUAUACACAAAAGGACAUAUAUAAAAGGGAAAAUAGCUUUCUGGAGAAACUGACUGCUAGAGAAUUCUA